GUUUUAUCGGAUCUUAUCAGACCGAUACCGACCGAUACGAACAAUAUAACGGUUCUCGAGCUCGGCCUACAAAACCCCGAACAGAAGACGAGGGAAACACCGGAUGCGGACUCCGCCUCCUCCUCUUCUGGGCCGGAGCGCUCUCGAUGCCUCAGCCGCCCUCCCUCCGUCGCUGACGUCCUCUCCUUUCAUUUCUUUGCGGAUUAUUUGGUCUGCUUCUCGUUUGAUUCACGUGGACUGCGACGCAGGUGUCUGCAUCUGCUCUUGAAUGCGUUGGUCGAUGCGUCUCAAGCUCCCAAUUCGAUCUCUCAGUAGCCAAAGUGGUCUCACUGAUGGGAAUUGUUCUUGGAGAAAACUAUACAUGGAAUUGAUUCGUUCUGGUGUAAAGCCAAAUACAAGCAGUUGGAUAUCAUGCAGAGGACUGAAGACUGUUGAAGCCUACUUUGAAGAAAGUUAAUGCACGACGACACACAAUUUGGUUUGUGUACAGUGUUGCCACAGAGAAGGAACUCUACAUCACCUAUACACACAAAUUAUAUGCCAUGUUGGUUAAAUUUUUCCUUCGGAUGCAAGGAUCACCAUGUUGAAUUGAGUUGAUUGCAGAUGCCAAGGAGAAGAUGGAGCUGAUCACUCUAACCCUGGGAAGUUACUUUUGGAUGGUGAGUGGGAAAUCACCACAACCCAGCUUGAUCUUCUUCCAGCUCAUGCGCUGAAACUUAGGCAAGUAAGUCCUGGAAUGGUCCACCGAGAAGAAUCUCUCACACUUGUAUGCAGGCCACAUGAAGCCAAACUGGAGCAGCUGCAGCAGUACUGUCACACCUCUGGCAUUGGACUCCUUCAAGAGCAGCGAUUGAAAGAUCAUCAUAAAACGUCACAAGUGAACACACAGUCAACUGAAUCGUGGCCUUCUUGAUCAUUCCUUACAGUGGUCAAGGAAAGCAGAAUGCAGUAUCAUCAGUGUCUGUGCUGUCUCCUAAUCUUCCACGGCCAUUUGUCUCACCAAACUGUAUAUGAUCGACUGAAAAGGGCAAGCAUUGAUCAUUUGGGUGCAGUAGCAUCAGUAUCCGUGCCCUAAUUAUGAUGCAGGAGCCUGUCUCUGCACUCCUAAUGGUUUCAUGGCAUCCCAGGGGAACAAAUGGCUCAGUAAACUGCAUACAGUUAUUUAGCAAGGAAACUUCUUGAUCGUUCUUCAUCAGUGUCAUCUGUGCUCUUAAGUAUGAUGCAGGAGACUCUGCACUCAAUGUUCUUCCAAGGCACCAGAGGAGAACAAUGGCUCAGUAAACUGCAUAAGACUCAGCUUAUAGAUCAUUCUUCAUCAGUGUCAUCUGUGCUCCAAGUAUGAUGUAGGAGACUGUGUCUGCACGCCUAAUCUUUCAUGGCAUCCGAGGAGAACAAAUCAGUGAACUGCAUACAGUCAACUGACAAGGGAAGUUCUUGAUCAUUCUGCAUCAGUGACAUCUGUGCUGCUCUAAGUAUGAUGCAGGAGACUGUGUCUGCACUCCUAAUCUCUCAUGGCCUUCCAGAGAACAAAUGGCUCGGUAAACUGCAAGCAGUCAAACUGAUAAAAGCAACCUCUUGAUCAUUGUUCGCAUUGACUCUACUGCUGCUUUCCUAAUCUCAAGGCCUAAUCUCUGAGGAGGAGAACAGUGCAUGGCUCAGAAAACCAAAACAUCAAGAACAAGAGAGGAAGAGGUAAGAGAAUAAAACAAAAGGGGGAAGGGGGAGAAUUAAAUGCUCGGGAGACCCGCAUGCAGAGGUGCAGCUGUCACGUAAUGAUGGUGGUGGGUUGACAACUUUAAACCAGCAGCCCCCGUUUCUGCAGAGAGAGAGAGGAGAGAGGACGAGCCUUUGGGUUGGCGAAGGACUUCAUUGCCAGUCUUUGUUUGCUGUAAAAUAUUUGCUAAUGUACUUUACAGAUGGCCACCAGAUUUUUGUGUUCUAAGUCCAAGUAUUAAAUGCAUAUUCUGUGAAUUAGCAUCA